rnacentral:rRNA from 1 species
UACGUAGGUGGCAAGCGUUGUCCGGAUUUACUGGGCGUAAAGAGCGCGCAGGCGGCUGGUCAAGUCCGAUGUGAAAUCUCCCGGCUUAACUGGGAAACUGCAUCGGAAACUGAUCGGCUUGAAGGUGGGAGAGGGUAGUGGAAUUCCCGGUGUAGUGGUGAAUGCGUAGAUAUCGGGAGGAACACCAGUGGCGAAGGCGACUACCUGGCCCAUUCUUGACGCUGAGGCGCGAAAGCUAGGGGAGCGAACGGG